rnacentral:rRNA from 1 species
GAACGCGGAUUAGCAACAACAAAUAAAGGUGUAGUGAUGGGGGGUGCGGACAGAUCAUAAGGAGGAGGUAUCGGAAGUGAAGAGGUUUGGAAAGACCCACCACAGAAGGUAAUAGUCCUGGAUGUUAAACGAGAAGACUUUAGAUAUGAGCCAGAGUACCACGGGACACGGGAAACCCUGUGGGAAGCAGGAGGGACCACCCUCCAAGGCUAAAUACUACCUAGUGACCGAUAGCGUAGAGUACCGUGAGGGAAAGGUGAAAAGAACCCCGGGAGGGGAGUGAAAUAGAACCUGAAACCCUGCACUUACAAGCUGUGGAAGCACAUUUCUUGUGUGACCGCGUACUUUUUGUAGAACGGGCCAACGAGUUACGUUAAGUAGCAAG